UAUCGCUGUUUUUUUCCCCUGUGUAUUUUGUCUUGUUUUCAAUUAGAUUUCUAGAAGCAGAACAGCUGGGCAAUAUAUUUGGUGAGAACUCAAAGUUAGAAGAAGCUCAUAAUCUUGUUUUUUGUCUCAGAUGAUACGAAAGAUCAGGAGAGAUAAACUUAUAAACUGCUACUAUUUUCUGUGAAAAUCAGAGACCAUACCCAACUAUCAAAUCAAACAUCAGACAGUCCAGAGGAAGAGGGUCUGGGCAGCUGUGGAGCUCUCUACGAGUGUGCCACCGUGUGCAGAACUGCUGCAAGAUGAGGAUGCUGAUACAGGGUCCACCGACACGAGAUGGUCUGGCCACUCGUGAAUUAUCGAUGGAGUUAACUGAGAAUGGGACCAGCAAAUUCUUUCAUCUACUACUGUAGUUAAAUAAAAAUGCCUUCAAUUAGCA
rnacentral:lncRNA from 1 species